rfam:Cyberlindnera jadinii strain CBS1600 genome assembly, contig: CJ1
UAUAUGAUGAUCCAUUUUUUCAAUUUAUAACUUUCGUUCUACCGAUUACGAUCAAACGAUCUUGGGGAGAAAUACCUUCUCUGACU